rnacentral:rRNA from 1 species
GACGAACGCUGGCGGCGUGCUUAACACAUGCAAGUCGAGCGGUAAGGCCCUUUUGGGGGUACACGAGCGGCGAACGGGUGAGUAACACGUGGGUGACCUGCCCUCAGCUCUGGGAUAAGCCUGGGAAACUGGGUCUAAUACUGGAUAUGACCUUUCCUCGCAUGGGGUUGGGUGGAAAGUUUUUCGCUGGGGAUGGGCCCGCGGCCUAUCAGCUUGUUGGUGGGGUGAUGGCCUACCAAGGCGACGACGGGUAGCCGGCCUGAGAGGGCGACCGGCCACACUGGGACUGAGACACGGCCCAGACUCCUACGGGAGGCAGCAGUGGGGAAUAUUGCGCAAUGGGCGGAAGCCUGACGCAGCGACGCCGCGUGGGGA